UUUCCCGGAGUGAGUUAGCGAACGGGGUGGAGUAACGACGUAGGGUAACCUAGCCUCGGUAGUCCGGGGGAGUAAACUAAUUUGGUAAACGGACUAGCUAAUACCGCAUAACAAGUAGAUAUCGCAUGAUAGCUGCGUUGAAAGGUAGCAAAUACGCACCACCUACCAGAUGGACCUGCGUUGUAUUAGCUAGUUGGUGAGGUAACGGCUCACCAAGGCAACGAUACAUAGCCGACCUGAGAGGGUGAUCGGCCACACUGGGACUGAGACACGGCCCAGACUCCUACGGGAGGCAGCAGUAGGGAAUCUUCGGCAAUGGACGGAAGUCUGACCGAGCAACGCCGCGUGAGUGAAGAAGGUUUUCGGAUCGUAAAGCUCUGUUGUAAGAGAAGAACGAGUGUGAGAGUGGAAAGUUCACACUGUGACGGUAUCUUACCAGGAAGGGACGGCUAACUACGUG
rnacentral:rRNA from 1 species